AAAGGGCUUUUAGAUGCCAAAUUGAAGGUGAAUCCAGAGAUAAAUGAAAAAAAAAAUACAAAUUGAGAAAAUAGAAUGUGAAAUCACAACUUAAUUGACCGUACCAAAUUAAUCGGACAUACACUAUAUAGUACCUAACCGACCAUACCGAAUGGAUAAGACCUAAUUGAUAGUACCUAAAUGAUUAAGGUACAUUCAUAUAGGUACUAUGAUUUAGGUGCAUUCAUAUAGGUACCAUGAUUUAGGUGCAUUCAUAUAGGUACCAUGGUUUAGGUGCAUUCAUAUAAGUACCAUGGUUUAGGUGCAUUUGACUUGGUACUAUGAUUUAUGUGCAUUCGACUAGGUUAUAUAAUUUAAGCACAUUAGGACAUGGUUUAAGUGCAUUCGAUUAUGUAAAAUAUAUGAUUUGGCUAUUUAUAUUUCCUCUAUGCUUUGAAUGGUGAUAAUGAAUCAUUUGAAUUAGGUAUUUGUUAAUUCUUGUAACGUAUCACUAAUAUUUUUUUGAAUUAUGUUUAUCAUUUUAGAAAGUCAAACAAUAAUCAAUGCCAAAAAAUAUGGAGCAAAUUAAAAUCAAAUAUUUAAUAGGGGCAUUAUAGGAACCCAAAAAACGCAUUAAAUAUUUCAAAACAAGAAAAUAUAAAUUUUAAUAUUUAUGCUGACAUGGAAAUUUAGUCAAAGGACUAUAAUGAAUAUAUAAUCUAACAUAAGG
rnacentral:lncRNA from 1 species